GAUGAACGCUGGCGGCGUGCCUAAUACAUGCAAGUCGAGCGAACAGACGAGGAGCUUGCUCCUCUGACGUUAGCGGCGGACGGGUGAGUAACACGUGGAUAACCUACCUAUAAGACUGGGAUAACUUCGGGAAACCGGAGCUAAUACCGGAUAAUAUAUUGAACCGCAUGGUUCAAUAGUGAAAGACGGUUUUGCUGUCACUUAUAGAUGGAUCCGCGCCGCAUUAGCUAGUUGGUAAGGUAACGGCUUACCAAGGCAACGAUGCGUAGCCGACCUGAGAGGGUGAUCGGCCACACUGGAACUGAGACACGGUCCAGACUCCUACGGGAGGCAGCAGUAGGGAAUCUUUCGCAAUGGGCGAAAGCCUGACGGAGCAACGCCGCGUGAGUGAUGAAGGUCUUCGGAUCGUAAAACUCUGUUAUUAGGGAAGAACAAAUGUGUAAGUAACUAUGCACGUCUUGACGGUACCUAAUCAGAAAGCCACGGCUAACUACGUG
rnacentral:rRNA from 1 species